rnacentral:tmRNA from 1 species
GGGGGUGCUGGGAUUCGACGGAUAAGUAAGGCAUCUCAGAGCAGGCGGAGGAUGGUGGUUGGCCUCUUUAAACAUCCACCAAAAAAAUAAACGCCGAUUAUAAUUACGCAUUAGCUGCGUAAGCAGCUAACGUUUCGGGCAAUCUCAGCCUGUAGGAUGUCUGAAACGUACGGAUGCGGGCCUCACGCAAAAAGGUUGCCUGGGCCUUUUGUGGUGAGUAUCAAGUCAGGAUAUGUUUUCAAGCCCUGUCGCUCGGGCAAGAAGACAGAAAAAACAUAGAGUGACUAAGCCUGUAGUAGCUGAGUUGGGUUGCUUAUUUGGACGCGGGGUUCAACUCCCCGCCACCUCCACCA